rnacentral:rRNA from 1 species
UUUAAAGUCUAACCUGCCCAAUGAUUAAUUAAAUGGCCGCAGUAAUUUGACUGUGCAAAGGUAGCAUAAUCAUUAGUUUUUUAAUUGAAAGCUGGAAUGAAUGGUUGGACGAGAAAAUAGCUGUCUCAAUUUAAAUGUAUUAGAAUUUUAUUUUUAAGUAAAAAAGCUUAAAUGAUAUUGGAAGACGAGAAGACCCUAUAGAGUUUAAUAAAUUUAGAAGUACAAAUUAUUAUGUAAUUUUUAUUUAGUAUUUUUGAUUUUAUUUUGUUGGGGUGAUGGGAAAAUUUAAUUAACUUUUCUUAGCUAUUUUCAUUGAUUUAUGUUUAAUUGAUCCAUUGUUAAUGAUUAUAAGAUUAAAUUACCUUAGGGAUAACAGCGUAAUUUUUUUUGAGAGUUCUUAUCGAAGGAAAAGUUUGCGACCUCGAUGUUGGAUUAAAAUAUACUUUUGGUGCAGAAGUUAAAAAGUUAGGUCUGUUCGACCUUUAAAAUUUUACAUGAUCUGAGUUUAAACCGGUGUAAGCCAGGUUGGUUUCUAUCUUUAAUAAAAUAUUAUAUCUUAGUACGAAAGGACUUGAUAUAUAUAAAAUUUAUUUUGUUAUUGAAUUUUAUUA